rnacentral:rRNA from 1 species
GACGAACGCUGGCGGCGUGCCUAACACAUGCAAGUCGAACGAAGUGGCGAACGGGUGAGUAACGCGUAAUCAACCUGCCCUUCAGAGGGGGAUAACAGUUGGAACCGACUGCUAAUCCCGCAUACUGAAGGAGGGGAUUGCGUCUGAUUAGCUAGUUGGAGGGGUAACGGCCUACCAAGGCGAUGAUCAGGCGCCGGUCGUGUGGGGUGAACGGGCACAUUGGGACUGAGAAACGGCCCAGACUCAUACGGGAGGCAGCAGUGGGGAAGCAUUCGAAAUGGACGAAAGUCUGACGGAGCAACGCCGCGGGAGUGGUGACGGCCUUCGGGUUGUAAAGCUAUGUUAAUCGGGACGCGGUACCGGAAUAGAAAGCCACGGCUAACUACGUGCCAGCAGCCGCGGUAAUUC